GCUGGGCGUGGUGGCGCACGCCUGUAAUCCCAGCACUUUGGGAGGCCGAGGUGGGUGGAUCACCUGAGGUCGGGAGUUCGAGACUAACCUGACCAACAUGGAGAAACUCCAUCUCUA
rnacentral:SRP_RNA from 1 species